rnacentral:tRNA from 1 species
GCGCCUGUAGCUCAGUAGGAUAGAGCAACUGCCUUCUAAGCAGUAGGUCACUGGUUCGAAUCCAGUCAGGCGCACCA